UGAAGGCCGGCACGGCACACGAGGGGGUGGGUGGCCAGCACCACGCCCGGCCGCCUUUGUUUCCCCAGGGGCGAUGUUUUACGCGACUCACCAGGCUUCAUCGUCAUCACGACCAGUGGAGCAGCAGAUCGCCCCGAGUCGGUGCCCACUCCAAUGCCGUCGUUUGUUUCCACUCUCCUCUCCGUCUUGCGGUGUCAAGAUGCUCAAGAAGUGGCCGCAACUUUGUGGCACCAAAUCUCUAACGAUGUCGUCAUUGUCACGCCGUCCUCUGUUCGACGCUUCCUCUCCUUCCGAGGCUUUCCAUUUUCCCGAACAACAACAACCACACACUUUUGAUGUUUCUGUUGUUGUCCAACCGUCUUGUGUCGUCAUGUCUCUUCUGUGUCGUCAUGUCUCUUUUUUCUUGAUUUAUUUACGGCCGAAGACUCAGAGGAACCCCCACUCCCAGGCUUGGGUCUGUGGCUAAGAGGUCAACCGCCUUGUGGACCGCCGAGCCAGAGUUUUCCAGACUGCACAC